AUGCACGCUGGCGGCGUGCCUAAUACAUGCAAGUCGAGCGAACAGACGAGGAGCUUGCUCCUCUGACGUUAGCGGCGGACGGGUGAGUAACACGUGGAUAACCUACCUAUAAGACUGGGAUAACUUCGGGAAACCGGAGCUAAUACCGGAUAAUAUAUUGAACCGCAUGGUUCAAUAGUGAAAGACGGUUUUGCUGUCACUUAUAGAUGGAUCCGCGCCGCAUUAGCUAGUUGGUAAGGUAACGGCUUACCUAGGCGACGAUGCGUAGCCGACCUGAGAGGGUGAUCGGCCACACUGGAACUGAGACACGGUCCAGACUCCUACGGGAGGCAGCAGUAGGGAAUCUUCCGCAAUGGGCGAAAGCCUGACGGAGCAACGCCGCGUGAGUGAUGAAGGUCUUCGGAUCGUAAAACUCUGUUAUUAGGGAAGAACAAAUGUGUAAGUAACUAUGCACGUCUUGACGGUACCUAAUCAGAAAGCCACGGCUAACUACGUG
rnacentral:rRNA from 1 species